UGUGUUUGUGUGCGUGAAUUUGUGAAUGUGUGUGCAUACAUGUGUACGUUUGUGGGAGUGACUGUGGAUGUGAACGUGUGUGUAUGUGUGUGAGUGCAUGAGUAUGUGUGUGCCCGGAUUGUGUGUGUGUAUGGGUAAGAGAAAGUGUGUGUGCGUGCGUUUGUGUGAAUGUGUGUGUGACUGUGUAUUUGAGUGUGUGUGCAUGCAAGAGAAUGAGUGUAUGUAUGUGUAUGUGUGUGUGUGUGUGUGUGUGCGUGAGAGUGCCUUUGUGAAUGUGUGUGUGUUUAUACGUGUGUGUGUGUAUGUAUGGGUGUCAGAAUGUUUGUGUAUACAUGUGUAUAUGGUGUGUGCACGCAUGUAUGUGUAUGCAUGUGUGUGCAUGUGUGAGUGCAUGAGUGUGUGUGUGUGCGUAUGGGUAAGAGAAUGUGUGUGUUUAUACAUGUGUGUGCGUGCGUGCGUAUGGGAAUGAGAAUGUGUGUGUGUUGACACGUUUGUGUUUGUGCGUGAUUGCAUAAAUGUGUGUGUGUGUGUGUGCGUUUGCGAAUGUGUGUGUCUGUAUACUGUAUGUGAGUGUGUGAGUGAGAGAAAAAGUGUGUGUGUAUGAGCGCGUGUAUGUGUGCAUGCGCGUGUGCGUGAGAUUGUGUGUGUCCGUGUGUAGGUGUGUGUGAGUGACUGGGUGUGAGAGAGUAUGUGUGCGUAGGUGUGUGAGUGCGUGUGCAUGAGUAAACAUGAGUGUGUGUAUUUGUGAGUGCGUGUACAUGACUGAGAGAGAAAGGGUGUGUGUGAGAGUAUGUGUGUGUGUGUGUGAUGGAGUGUAUGUGAGAGAGAGACGGUGUGUGUGUGUGUAACUGGGUGUGCGAGAGUGUGUGUAGGUGUGUGAGUGCGUGUGUGUGUGGGCCUAGGUGCAUAUGAGUGUGUGUAUAUAUAUGUGUGACUGUGUGAUUGAGUGUGUGUGUAUGUGUAUAUGAGUGUGUAUGUAUAUAAGUGUGUGUGUGCACAUAUGUGUAUGUGUGUGUGUGUGUGUGUGUAGGUGUGGG